CCAAGUAGUUAGUGAGAGGAGCACAUGAGCCUAGAUGUGUGCUUAACAUGGUUAUGAAUGCAGUAAUCACACUGGGAGCAGCAGGGGCGUGGCUCAAUGCUGGCUCGUCCCAGGAACUCGGCAGGGGAGAAGGCUGAGUGCUGCUCUGCCUGGAAAGACACUUGCACCACGCAGCCACCUGUAGCACACGCUGAUGUGUCACGAUUGCCAAUCUACAAAGAAGAAAGAUGUGUCAUGUUAUUUUGAGAUCAUUUGAUGUUUCUAGGGAAAUGAUGUGCCAAAACUAAUCACUGAAAAGACUAUUGACCUCUUCUCAGUGCUCAUGACUGCAGUCCAGUAAUCUGUUUAAUACAUAUCAAGGAUCAACUUCAGGACGUAGUUCAUACAAAAACAGUUCUGCAACUUUUGAUUCGGUAGAUGUGGCACUUUAGCGCCAGUUUAUCAGAACCCACCCGAGUGUCCCAACCGAGCGCAGGCAUUUGCCAGACUGACCUCCAUUCUGAUAUUUCUUUUUAAGAAUUUCCGACAAAACACAGUUAUUUUCUUUGGUUUGAAAAGUCUUUUGGAUCUCCUUCAGUUGUACUCUUCACAUAAGACCCCACCAUUAAAAGGCCACUCUAAAAUGUGCAGUAAUAUCACACAGCACAGCGCCAGAGAUGCACCAAGUUGUCAGGGAGCAUGCAACUGGCAUGCUAACUUCAGUCUCCACCAGAGCUGUUGCCCGUGAAUUGAAUAUUCGUUUCUCUAACAUUAGCCAUCUCCAAAGACAUUCCCAAGAAUUUGGCAGUACAUCCAACUGGCCUCAUAACCGCAGACCAGAGAGAAGUGAAGAACUGGAGAAGUGCUAACUAUCAUAGGUUUAAAGAAAGUUGUGAACAAAAUUUGAGAGGAAUAGACAUUUUGUGUACAUAGAAAAAUACUUUGAUUUCAACUUGUGAAAAUAAAAACAGUGGUGGUUAUGUUUAUAUUUUUGUUCAGUGUAGUCAGGAUAUAUUACAUGCUAUAUGUUUAAAAAAUCAAAUACUGGCAGUGCCAAAACAUCAGUAAUGAUAGAAUUGUCUGUAUCUUGAACAUGCAUAGAAUAACUCAUAAUCAAUUUUAUAAGCUUGUCUUUCUGUGCCACAUGACCUAAACAAGUAAAAGAUUAUCCUUGACUUUGUAAACUUAAUAAAACAUUUAAUUAUG